rnacentral:rRNA from 1 species
UGGGGAAUUUUGCACAAUGGAGGAAACUCUGAUGCAGCGACGCCGCGUGAGUGAUGAAGAUCUUCGGAUUGUAAAACUCUGUCCUUAGUGAAGAUAAUGACAGUAACUAAGAAGCAAGCCCUGGCUAAAUACGUGCCAGCAGCCGCGGUAAUACGUAUGGGGCAAGCGUUGUCCGGAAUUAUUGGGCGUAAAGGGUACGUAGGCGGUUUAAUAAGUCCUAAUUAAAAGGCUAUGGCUCAACCAUAGUAUGGUUAGGAAACUGUUGAACUUGAGUAGAUGAGGGGAAAGUGGAAUUCCAUGUGUAGCGGUGAAAUGCGUAGAUAUAUGGAGGAACACCAAUGGCGAAGGCAACUUUCUGGAAUCAAACUGACGCUGAGGUACGAAGGAGUGGGGAGCAAACAGG